rnacentral:rRNA from 1 species
UACGAAGGGUGCAAACGUUGCUCGGAAUUAUUGGGCGUAAAGCGCACGUAGGCGGCAUUGCAAGUCGGAUGUGAAAUCCCUCGGCUUAACCAAGGAAGUGCAUCCGAAACUGCAGUGCUUGAGUACUUAAGAGGAUCGCGGAAUUCCCGGUGUAGAGGUGAAAUUCGUAGAUAUUGGGAAGAACACCAGUGGCGAAGGCGGCUCACUGGUCCGGUACUGACGCUGAGGUGCGAAAGCGUGGGGAGCAAACAGG